UGUUCCUUUGAGCUAACCUUGCAGUAUUAUAUGGAUUUGAGAAGGAUGUUAAUUUUAUGGAGUUAGUUGCCUGCACUUCUUCUUCUGCAUUUCCAUAAUCUUCUUCUGCUGCUGCAAUUUGGUUGUAUCCUUCAAAUCUGUGGACUCUCUGCCAGGCUAUUCCGGCAAUCUUCCCUUCAAGCUCGAGACUGGGUACAUUGAUGUUGGGGAAUAUGAGGAUGUGCAACCAUUCUACAAGAACUUAGUUGAGUCUGCAAAGAAUGCUGCAAAAGACCCUUUGAUGCUUUGGUUAACCGGUGGCCUUGAGUGUUCCGCCCUCUCUAACCUUGCCUACGAAAAUAAAAACCUAUUGAAGCACAAAGAAAGAGUCAAUAACGCCUCUACUAAGAUGCCACAACAAAGCCGCUUGACCACAAGGACUUUGGAUAUACAGCAAUGUAUUAUCUUGAGCAUUGUCUAUUUAUUGCCAUACAAUAUAAAGAAAAACUUCUUAUUUUGAAUAAAAACAAAAAUCGAAAAGGA